UAGUCCACGCUGUAAACGAUGAGUACUGGUUGUAUGCGAUACAUUGUAUGUGACUGAGCGAAAGCAUUAAGUACUCCACCUGGGAAGUACGUCGGCAACGAUGAAACUCAAAGGAAUUGACGGGGGCCCGCACAAGCGGUGGAACAUGUGGUUUAAUUCGAUGAUACGCGAGGAACCUUACCUGGGCUUAAAUGCAGCCGGACCGUCCUGGAAACGGGAUUUCCCUUCGGGGCUGGCUACAAGGUGCUGCAUGGCUGUCGUCAGCUCGUGCCGUGAGGUGUCGGGUUAAGUCCCAUAACGAGCGCAACCCCUGUCGUUAGUUGCCAGCAAGUAAAGUUGGGGACUCUAGCGAGACUGCCGGUGCAAACCGAGAGGAAGGUGGGGAU
rnacentral:rRNA from 1 species